GUAAAAGCAGCCUUCUUCAGUCUUUUCUUUUCCAUUUUCUUAAGUAUUCAACUUCAAAUACAAGAAAAAGUUUCAACUUCAAAUACAAGAAAAAGUGAAGAGUAAAGGUGAAACGAUAAAUAGAGGUUGAAGAUUUUGGAAGAUUUGGAAGUUCAACCUCAAGUAGAAAAUUCUACAACAGAUAAAACUCAAGUAAAAGGUGGAAAAUAGAGCAUCCAUCUUCAGAAGACUGGAGAGAUGUGAAUGUGUUUCUCAAGUUUUUGGGGAUUUUCUAUCAAACAACUUUGAAAUUUUCGAGUACUUUACAUGUUGCUCCAAAUACUUUCUUUGAUGAGCUUUUUAAUCUUCAAAGCAUAAUUGUCAAUCAUUCAAAGUGUGAAAAAUCUCUUUUGUCUAGUAUGACUAAGAAGAUGAAAGGUAAGUUUGAUAAAUAUUGGGGUGAUUUUGAUGAUAUGAAUAUGUUGUUGUUCGUU